GCCCUGUUAGCUCAGUUGGUAGAGCAGCUGACUCUUAAUCAGCGGGUCGUAGGUUCAAAUCCUACACGGGGCA
rnacentral:tRNA from 2 species